GCGUCCAUAGCUCAGAUGGAUAGAGUACCUGGCUACGAACCAGGCGGUCGGAGGUUCGAAUCCUUCUGGACGCGCCA
rnacentral:tRNA from 1 species